GCAAAACAGUAUGCAGAGUUUUCAUGGUGUUGUUAACUGAUACCAAGCCAUAUUUGAAGAAAACGAUGAUGCUUCAGACAGCCUCGCUCGUGAUUUCAUCCUUAAGAUAAGCGAAGAAGGCUCUUUGUCGAGUUUUCUUGAUCAAUGGCUGCAUCCACAGAAAUGAAGCAUAAAUUAGUAACUGAAGCAUCAUUUUCUAGAUAAGAAGAUAGGCCCUGCAUUUCUCUAUCAUAUUUUCUCUCGAGUUCAUGGUGGAGACGACAUAGCAGAUUCGCGUAUUUGAUGAUCUGGAACAGAGGAGUAGUUGAUAGUAUGAUACGAAUCAAGAUGAAAACUGCUGCACUAAUUAUAUGCCCAGAAAUCUUCACUUUUGUUUAUGGCUGUAAAGUUUGUAUAUGCUAUGCAGUGUGUAUAUUUAAGAGUCUCAACUGAGAGACAUCACAUAUUUGUUGCAAGCAAUUCAUCAAGAAACAAAAGAGCUGAGUUCUAAACGAAAUUCGACCUGUUCAUCUGUGCAGGUAGCUAUUCGUCAUCGUGCAACUGCUACUCCGGUCUCCACAGAAAGAAGAAGCCAUCGCCAUCCUCAUGUUUGCCGCCUCUUCACGUUGGCUAACUGCAAUCUUUAUGCAUAUAAACAGCUCUCUAAAGUGAAUCUCGUCCUCGUCUGCAGUUGAGGCAAUCAUGCAGCAUUAGAUCUGAGACGGGUUAACGGAGAAAUUAGAUUAUACAAUGAAGGGAUUGGGACUAGCAGAGAUGAAUAGGAAGUGUUUUUGGCACUACCUUUUUUAACAGUGAAAAAUGUGUGCUUUAUCUUUACUGAUCUUGUUAAACAUCUUCAUUGUUAGCUUUCCUUCAACUUAUGAAAACAUAUAUAAUGUCUGUCUGUGUCAAUAUCAAUCUCAAUCAAGUUACUCAUCACACACACACACACACACACACACUAUGAAUCUCAUAUGUAACAGUCACAAUAUAUUAAGUACUUUCAUGAUGGCUUACCAAGAAACCACAAUACCAUCAUCUACAAAGAAAGGUAAAAUUUUGAGGAAUCCAAGUAAAAGCAGAUAGCUGCAGGCAGCAGAUUUUAUAGUUGCAAUUAGUUAAAGAGAGCAAAGAAAGCAAAGCACUAUUCAGGAACAUGGCUAUAUGAGGUUAAAUUUACUUUGCAUGAUUGAUAAGAUACAUAACUAAUAAUUUUAUACUCCAAUUUCCUUUUCAAUUGGAUAUGCAUCAUGCAAAACUAAUCAAAUGAUAGAGAUUAUCAAGGUGAUCCAUGAGAUAUAUUCCAAAUUUCAAUCUUUGGCUAAGCUUAAGCUUUUAGCUUAUAGCUCUUAAAGUUGGCAAAAUAACUCUAAAAGCUUAGAAGUUGUUUGCAAAAUAAGCUCUAAAAGCUUAUAACUGUAAAAUUAAGCUUAAGAGUUAUAACUCAAAAAAUAAGUUCUCUACCCACUUAUUUUCUCAUUUUCUUAUAAGCAACACUCAUUUUACAAAAAAUAAUUCAAUAUAAUUUUUUAUUUUAUCAUAUAUCAUUCUAAUUUCAUUUUUCUUCAAUUCUCUCCACCAACUAAAAAUUCUCUCUUAGCUUAUAAGCUCAAUAUAACCAAACACUUUGACAACUUAUAAGCUCUUAAGAAGCUACAUCUUAUAAACUCUUAUAAGCUCUGAGAGCUUAUAAUAAACUUAGCCAAACAUCUAAACAAGGGAUUAACUUACUAUUUUAACCUAUAUAGAAUAAUCCAUAAGGGUGCGUUCUCUUUGAUUGCAAAUUUAUCAUGAAAAAUGACGGAUACAAAUUUUUUCACCCUUUAAAUCCAUUUUUCUAUCCUCACUUUCUACAAAAUGAAUUUCAACAUUUCUUCUUCCUCCUUUUCACUUCAAGAAGAAACAAUAUUAUCACGAGAUAUUUGUGUGAUAAUAUUAUCCCUCCUUAUAGUGAAAAAAAAAAAGUAAAAGAAAUGGUGAAAUUCUUUAUUAUAGAAAAAUGAGGGAAAAUAACUUUUAUAUCCAUACAACAAAGAGAACACAUCCUAACAAUAAACACCCCUUAAAACAACAAACAUAUAUAUCAAAUAAAAAACUGUUUUCUUUAUUCACACGCACAACAAAAUCUGCAAAUGAAAGGUAUAAAUGAUGUGUGUGUGUGUGUGUGUGUGAGUGCAUAAAUAGACUUAAAUGACCUGAUCAAGCUAAGUAGAAUUACUGAUCUUGCAGUGUUAUAGCUUGAAAUACACAUGUAAUAACAAUUACAUAUCCACAUAUAUUGAUCACUUUUAGAUCUGUAAGAGAAGAAAUUCCUCAUAUAAAAGCACUACAUCUCCAUUCACCACACACCACAAAUUAUCACAAACUUAGAAAAGAGAGAGAGAGAGAGAGAGAGAGGCAAAGCAAUAUACUAUAUCAUGUCAACAUCUUCAACACUGACAGUGGAGCAAAGGAUGUUUGUGAAUUGUGAUAAUAUACAAAGGCAAAAAAUAAUGUAAAAAAUAGUCAAAAGAAACUGAGUUAUAAACUAGACCAAAUUAAAUCUCACUUAAAACUUGCAUGAAAAAUAAUAAGCCUCCAUAAUCCCUCAAACAAAAAAUAUAUAGUAAAUAAUUAUAAUAUCCCCCAUUUUCAAAAACACAAUAAUAACUCCCCACUAGACCACUUAUUAUAGAAACUAAUAAUGUCAACCUUAGUCUGCUGCAAGAAAAAUUGCAAAAACAACACACGGUUUGAAUUUGAUGUAAGAUUGUGACUAACAUAUUUAUGUCUGAGUGGACCUUUGAUUUCUAGAAACACACACACAAAUGUGAUAAUUAUCAAGAAAAUUAGCAUAAUUAAGAGAAUUAUAGAUCAAUUAGCACCUACAUAGAAAAAACUCUCUAGAUCUAAAAUUCUGCAACACCUCAAGAAACCCUAACUCUUUGAAUCUGCCCUCAAUUUAGCAAAAAAGAUGCAAACAGAUAAAAACAUAUCAUCACCAUUCACCAUCAAAACUGCACAAAAACAAGAUUGCAUUUUGUGUGUGUGUGUGUGUGUGAGAGAGAGAGAGAGAGAGAGAGAAGUGGUGGGGUGACAGAGAGAGGGUGAGCACACAUAGCUUCAAGCAUGUAGAAAGAUUCAUGCAAGAAAACACCAUGUGUGCUCACUCUCUUCUGUCACCUCCCUUACCCUUAUAAUUAAUCCAAUUUGAAUCACUUCCAACACAUGGGAUAUGAAGAAAUCUCAAUCAUAUGUAUGUGUUUGUGUGUGUGUGUUUUGUGAAGAAGACAGAAAAGGAGAAGAACCCUAAAUCUGGAAACCCUCAAAAUUAAAAAGAGAAACAGUAGAAGAUAUGAUGUGGUGGGAACUGUUCCAUUAGAAAAGGAAGAGUGCUUUUGAUUUUGAUGUGUGGAGAAAUGAUAGUGGGAUUGUCCCUUUUAUAUAGGAAUGGAAAAAUUUCC
rnacentral:lncRNA from 1 species